rnacentral:ncRNA from 12 species
AAUCCGAGGAGCGCUGCAAGGCUGUCGUCCCACAGUUUCAGGCUCGGAUUCAUCAAACGGCGCUCAUCCCAC